rnacentral:rRNA from 1 species
AUAUAAACUACUUGCCCAAAAAUAAAAAAAAGUUUGAAAUAAUCAUAGAUAAUAAGAAGUAAGGGAGAUAGAAACUUAGAAACGGAGCUUUAGAGAAAAAGUAUCGCAAGAGAACGUACUAAAUAAAAUAAAGAAGAGAUAAACUCUCGUCCCUGUGUAUCAUGGCUUAGCAACUUUAAUUUUAAAUUAACUUUCCCGAAACUCAAUGAGCUACCAAUUCCCAGUUAAGAACUUAUUAGUCCUUGUGGCAAAAAGGUUAAAAGAGGUAUUGGUAGGGACUAUAUAUCUGUCGCAUUGAGUUAUAGCUGGUUUCUAAAGAAAUGUAUUAAAGUACAAGAGAGUUAACACUCAACUUCCUACUAAGGGGAUAAUCUCUAAGUAGUACACAUUUUGUAAAAUUCAACCUAAAUCACAAUCUAGGCUUAAAAUCAGCCUUGAUAACAAAACAAGUUACAUUGUAUUGAUAAGGAAAGGCGUAAUAAUAAAUAUACAAUUUUAAAGUAUUUAGAAAUUCUGAUCAAUUUACAUCAGAAGUUAAUAUGUUAAGAUAAGUAUAAUUCGUUUAAUAAAAUAUUUAUAAAUGUAUAAAAAAUAUACGGGUAAGGAACUCGGCAAAAACAAGCUCCGACUGUUUAUCAAAAACAUAGCUAUUCGAAAUUAUUAAAAGUACAGCCUGCCCGGUGGUUCAUCUUAACGGCUGCGGUAUCUUGACCGUACAAAGGUAGCAUAAUCACUUGUCCCCUCAUUAGGGACUGGAAUCAAAGGUUAAACGAGAGCUUAGCUGUCUCACCCGUAUCCAUAAAAAUUUACUUUCAAGUGAAAAGGCUUGAAUAAAACAAGAGGACAAGAAGACCCUAUGGAGCUUUAGRGGAAAAGUUUAAAAGAACAAAUAUUUYAUAAAAAGUUUACGAAAYUWAAAACUUUAGUUGGGGCAACURAGGUACAAURAAAACUACCUUUAAAAGAAAUAUUGAUAAAUAURAAUUUAAAAYUAAAGAUCCUAUUAUUAAGAUCAGGAAAACAAGCUACCCUAGGGAUAACAGCGUAAUUCYCCCUGAGAGCUCAUAUCGAAGGRAGAGAUUGCGACCUCGAUGUUGGA